GCUUGCUCCCGGAUGUUAGCGGCGGACGGGUGAGUAACACGUGGGUAACCUGCCUGUAAGACUGGGAUAACUCCGGGAAACCGGAGCUAAUACCGGAUAGUUCCUUGAACCGCAUGGUUCAAGGAUGAAAGACGGUUUCGGCUGUCACUUACAGAUGGACCCGCGGCGCAUUAGCUAGUUGGUGGGGUAAUGGCUCACCAAGGCGACGAUGCGUAGCCGACCUGAGAGGGUGAUCGGCCACACUGGGACUGAGACACGGCCCAGACUCCUACGGGAGGCAGCAGUAGGGAAUCUUCCGCAAUGGACGAAAGUCUGACGGAGCAACGCCGCGUGAGUGAUGAAGGUUUUCGGAUCGUAAAGCUCUGUUGUUAGGGAAGAACAAGUGCGAGAGUAACUGCUCGCACCUUGACGGUACCUAACCAGAAAGCCACGGCUAACUACGUGCCAGCAGCCGCGGUAAUACGUAGGUGGCAAGCGUUGUCCGGAAUUAUUGGGCGUAAAGGGCUCGCAGGCGGUUUCUUAAGUCUGAUGUGAAAGCCCCCGGCUCAACCGGGGAGGGUCAUUGGAAACUGGGAAACUUGAGUGCAGAAGAGGAGAGUGGAAUUCCACGUGUAGCGGUGAAAUGCGUAGAGAUGUGGAGGAACACCAGUGGCGAAGGCGACUCUCUGGUCUGUAACUGACGCUGAGGAGCG
rnacentral:rRNA from 1 species